UGCCCUGUCAGGGAAGAAGGGCCCCUCCUAUCUGAUGCAAAUCUACCCACUGUGGCCAGAGAUCCCAACCUCUUGUCUUCUCAGAGUUCACAGGUGACAUGACAGUCACUGAAUGUCUAACUCCAUCCCACGCUUCUCUAAGCCCAGGCUUGUUAUCCAGUUGCCCAUUUGCCAUCUGCUCUUCAAUGUUUCCUGGGCAAGACAAAAUGGCAAUUCAAAAAUUCCAGAUUCUUCCACAAACUUCUUCCUCUCCCAUUGUUUGCCACCUACCUAGAAGGCAUCCUUCAUUCCUCUCUGUCCCUCACCACCUUGCCCUCACAUUCAGCGCAUCAAGUCCCGUCAACUCUGAAACCGAUUCUCUGCCACCAUGUCCCACCCAGACUGCUGUGCCAACCCCUAACCCAGCAGCCUCCUUGCUUCUGCUGCCACUGUCUGAUAUCAGACCAAGUCCCGUGGCUGCCCAUGGUCCCAAAUAACCCAGUCUCUAGGAUAACUGUAAGGUCCUGCACCACCUGGCUCCACCUACUUCUCUAUCGUCCUGCUCAGCAGGCUUCAACCGCCUGUCUUCUGUCAGUUCCUGAACAUCCCAAGCUCUUGUCAACCUGACUUUAGCACCUGCUGUUCCCUCUAUCUGAACACUCUUGGCUAGCACCUUGUUCUUCAGAUUUCAGCUGAAAUCACAUCUCAGUGGUCAUCUAUAAAUAUUCUCUCUAGAGAGAUACAUGCCCCUCCCUCCAGUAAACAUAAGCAACAACUUUAAGCUAGGAGACAGACCAGAGUAAAAGGGGUCAGAUUAGUAAAAAAAAAACCUACCACUUGCUGGUCCCUCCACGAAAAGACCUGUAAGAAGUUCUUGUCUAACACUGCAGGAGUCCCCAACAGAGGACCAAAGAAAAAGAAGAGGUUAGUUGAUUAGUCACUGGAAAUAUGCCUUAGCCUCACCUUACCCAGCAAAUUAAGAAACUUAGCUCCGGCCGGGCGCGGUGGCUCAAGCCUGUAAUCCCAGCACUUUGGGAGGCCAAGACGGGUGGAUCACGAGGUCAGGAGAUCGAGACCAUCCUGGCUAACACAGUGAAACCCCGUCUCUACUAAAAAAUACAAAAAACUAGCCGGGGUGAGUUGGCGAGCCUGUAGUCCCAGCUACUCGGGAGGCUGAGGCAGGAGAAUGGCGUAAACCCGGGAGGCGGAGCUUGUAGUGAGCUGAGAUCCGGCCACUGCACUCCAGCCCGGGUGACAGAGCGAGACUCCGUCUCAAAAAAAAAAAAAAGAAACUUAGCUCCAAUUUAGACUUUUCAACGAAACUGGAAAUUGUAGGAAAAUGGGAGAGGCCAGAUAGGAAGGGGGACUACAGUCUGACCAGACUGGUCCCAGCUGCCAGAGUCUGCUCUAGAGAAACCCGAGGUAGAUUCCUGCUGCUUUCCAGUCUGGAACCAGGUGCAUCUCUCUAUCUUCCCCUGUAUCCUUUAUUGGUCCUUUGUUCUCUUUCCAAACUUGAACUCCAAGCUUUCCUCAAAACCUACUCCUGGAUCACUUUUCAUAUAUUGACUCAGGCAACAUAUCCAGUUAUUAUGCUGAUGACUUUAAAAACUCUAUUUUCCGCUCUGUCUCAACAACUGGGUGCUAGCAAAUACCCAAAUGAGUGAGUGAAUAACUUUACCUGUCUUGGAGCCUCAAGACACCCCAAUAGACCAUUAAAGACAAACCUAAACAAAUACCCAAAAGGCAACCCAUACAUGCCACAUGAUAUGAGCGACAGAAACAAAUUAUUGAAGGAAUCAGUUUCCAUUCCAGUUGUCAAGAAUGGCUUUGGCCGGGCGCGGUGGCUCAAGCCUGUAAUCCCAGCACUUUGGGAGGCCGAGACGGGCGGAUCACAAGGUCAGGAGAUCGAGACCAUCCUGGCUAACACGGUGAAACCCCCGUCUCUACUAAAAAUACAAAAACUAGCCGGUGAAGUGGCGGGCCCCUGUAGUCCCAGCUACUUGGGAGGCUGAGGCAGGAGAAUGGCGUGAACCCGGGAGGCGGAGCUUGCAGUGAGCUGAGAUCCGGCCACUGCACUCCAGCCUGGGCGACAGAGCAUGACUCCGUCUCAAAAAAAAAAAAAAAAAAAAAAA
rnacentral:lncRNA from 1 species